GGUAAUUCUGGAGCUAAUACAUGCAUAAAAGAUGUAACAUUUAUUGUUACAUUGCGUAUAUUAGUAUUAAAACCAAGCAUUCUUUCGGGAAUGUUUAGUGUUGAACCUGAAUAUAUCUGCUAAUCGUAUGGUCUUGUACCGACGAUAUGUCAUUCAAGUGUCUGAUCUAUCAACUUUCUAUAUAAGUAUAUAGUACUUAUAUGGUUUUGACGGAUAACGGGGUAUUAGGGUACGACUCCGGAGAAAAUGCCUGAGAAACGGCGUUUACAUCCAAGGAAGGCAGCAGGCGCGAAAAUUACCCACUCUCAGUUCGAGGAGGUAGUGACGAGAAAUGACAAGAUCUAUUCCUUCGGGGAUGGAUCAUUGGAAUGGUUUGAUUUUAAAAUCAUUAAAGAGUAUCAAUGAGAGGGCAA
rnacentral:rRNA from 1 species